GGGUCAGUAGGUUGGUCGUGCCACCGGUACGUACUGGUCUCACUGCUUCCUCCUUCCCGAAGAACCGUAAUGCCAUUAAUUUGGUGUUGCGGGGAAACAGGACUGUUACUUUGAAAAAAUUAGAGUGUUUAAAGCAAGCUAACGCUUGAAUACAUUAGCAUGGAAUAAUGAAAUAGGACGAUCGAUCCUAUUUUGUUGGUUUCUAGGAUUGACGUA
rnacentral:rRNA from 1 species